rnacentral:snRNA from 1 species
UGGGGCCUUGUAUAAUCCC